UUUGUCCCAGCAGGUGCAGGGGAUGGACUGCCCGGUCUUCUACAUCAGCUGGAAACAGAGAGAGGCCAGGUACAGUACUGUGGAGAAAGAGUGCCUGGCCAU
ensembl:snoRNA Small nucleolar RNA SNORA17